rnacentral:rRNA from 1 species
AUUCGACGCAACGCGAAGAACCUUACCAAGGCUUGACAUAUACAGGAAUACGGCAGAGAUGUCGUAGCGGUAAAACGUCUGUAUACAGGUGGUGCAUGGUUGUCGUCAGCUCGUGUCGUGAGAUGUUGGGUUAAGUCCCGCAACGAGCGCAACCCUCGUUCUGUGUUGCCAGCAUUUAGUUGGGGACUCACAGGAGACUGCCGGGGUUAACUCGGAGGAAGGUGGGGAUGACGUCAAAUCAUCAUGCCCCUUAUGUCUUGGGCUGCACGCAUGCUACAAUGGCUGGUACAAAGGGCUGCAAUACUGCAAAGUGGAGCGAAUCCCAAAAAGCCAGUCUCAGUUCGGAUUGGGGUCUGCAACUCGACCCCAUGAAGUCGGAGUUGCUAGUAAUCGUAGAUCAGCAACGCUACGGUGAAUACGUUCCCGGGGCUUGUACACACCGCCCGUCACAUCACGAAAGUCGGUUAACAC